rnacentral:rRNA from 1 species
AGUGAACGCUGGCGGUAGGCCUAACACAUGCAAGUCGAACGGCAGCACAGUAAGAGCUUGCUCUUACGGGUGGCGAGUGGCGGACGGGUGAGGAAUACAUCGGAAUCUACUUUUUCGUGGGGGAUAACGUAGGGAAACUUACGCUAAUACCGCAUACGACCUACGGGUGAAAGCAGGGGAUCUUCGGACCUUGCGCGAUUGAAUGAGCCGAUGUCGGAUUAGCUAGUUGGCGGGGUAAAGGCCCACCAAGGCGACGAUCCGUAGCUGGUCUGAGAGGAGGAGCAGCCACGCUGGAACUGGGACACGGUCCAGAAUCCUACGGGAGGGAGCAGUGGGGAAUUUUUGAGAAAGGGAGCAAGCCUGAUUCAGCCAUACCGCGUGGGUGAAGAAGGCCUUCGGGUUGUAAAGCUCAUUUGUUGGGAAAGAAAAGAAGCAGGUUAAUACCCCGCUGUUCUGACGGGACCCAAAGAAUAAGCACCGGCUAACUUCGUAC